rnacentral:rRNA from 1 species
AAUGGGCGAAAGCCUGACGGAGCAACGCCGCGUGAGGGAUGAAGGCCUCUGGGCUGUAAACCUCUUUUAUCAAGGAAGAAGAUCCGACGGUACUUGAUGAAUAAGCCACGGCUAAUUCCGUGCUAGCAGCCGCGGUAAUACGGGAGUGGCAAGCGUUAUCCGGAAUUAUUGGGCGUAAAGCGUCCGCAGGCGGCCCUUCAAGUCUGCUGUUAAAAAGUGGAGCUUAACUCCAUCAUGGCAGUGGAAACUGUUGGGCUUGAGUGUGGUAGGGGCAGAGGGAAUUCCCGGUGUAGCGGUGAAAUGCGUAGAUAUCGGGAAGAACACCAGUGGCGAAGGCGCUCUGCUGGGCCAUCACUGACGCUCAUGGACGAAAGCCAGGGGAGCGAAAGGGAUU